GACGAACGCUGGCGGCGUGCUUAACACAUGCAAGUCGAACGGAAAGGCCCUGCUUUUGUGGGGUGCUCGAGUGGCGAACGGGUGAGUAACACGUGAGUAACCUGCCCUUGACUUUGUGAUAACUUCAGGAAACUGGGGCUAAUACCGGAUAGGAGCUCCUGCUGCAUGGUGGGGGUUGGAAAGUUUCGGCGGUUGGGGAUGGACUCGCGGCUUAUCAGCUUGUUGGUGGGGUAGUGGCUUACCAAGGCUUUGACGGGUAGCCGGCCUGAGAGGGUGACCGGCCACAUUGGGACUGAGAUACGGCGCAGACGCCUACGGGAGGCAGCAGUGGGGAAUAUGGCACAAUGGGCGGAAGCCUGAUGCAGAAACGCCGCGUGCGGGAUGACGGCCUUCGGGUGGUAAACCGCUUUCGCCUGUGACGAAGCGUGAGUGACGGUAAUGGGUAAAGAAGCACCGGCUAACUACGUG
rnacentral:rRNA from 1 species